AUUGAAUCGACGUCGAUUCGUUGUCGAAUAUCGAUGUCAAAUUCGUCGAAUCAUUUCUCACUAGAAUGCGUGUUGAUUAGAGUAGUUUAAAUAAAAAACAAAAUUAAAUUGUUUGUAUCAAUUUAUCGGCAACUAUUUAACAUACAGAUAUUAAUAAUUUAAUUUGUAUAUUGUGUACGUUUUUUUGGUAUUCUACAUCCAAGAUGAACAACCGGAAGAGGAAAUAAAAACUCAAGAGACCAUAAAGAUUGUGAUCGACCGCGCCACGCAAACGUGAAUACAUUGUGCUUCUGAUAUGCAUGAGUAAACAGGAGUUUAUUAGUAUAUCAUGAUCGAAGCGAUAAAUACAGAUGAAAUAAGAUCAUCAGGUAUACGAAAGAUUGAUUGAAAUCUUUUACUGGAGACACACAAUGAAAUCUAUCUUAAUAAUUCCUGUCCACUGUGUCCGCAAUUGAUGACAUUCUGCUAGCAUAAGUAGUAAGCAAAUCUGACAUCAAAUUAGCGGUAAAAACCGAGCAGAUCUGCACAAUAUAGUUAAUGGAAAAUUGGCGGCAGAAACCGAGCUGAUCGGUCAAAUAAUACAAUCUGAUAGCAGAUAUUGGCGGCAGAAAUCGAGCAGGACCUGUAAUUCCUUGUCACGAAUAAUAUAUCUUUGAACAUGUGAUGCAGUAACUCUGGCGAGUUUCUCGAGCAGAGUCAAGAUGAACAACCGGAAGAGGAAAUAAAAACUCAAGAGACCAUAAAGAUUGCGAUCAACCGUGCCACGCAAACGCGGAUACAUUGUGCUCCUGAUAUGAGUAAACAGGAGUUUAUUAAUAUCAUGAUCGAAGCGAUAAAUGUAGAUGAAAGAUUAGCAUCAGGUAUACGAAAGAUUGAUUGAAAUCUUUCAUUGAAGACACACAAUGAAAUCUAUCUUAAUAACGAGUUUUUCUGAAAAUAUCCUCAUUUUCCUAUUUAUGAAAAUUUUAGUAAAUUUUAUUUUUACGAAUACACAUUCGACGAUGUUAUAUUGGAAAAUGAAAUAUUUAUAAUUUCCCAAUAAUUGCAAAAGUUUGUCAGAAAUAAAAUAAAAUGACUUUUAGUAUUUGAAGAUAUCAUAUUUUAUCAAUUGAUAAGCGCGAUCUGCAUGCGUAAGUAUUAAUUAAUUAUCAAACUCGUGUGCAUAAACAAUCUAGUUUUAUUUAUAAUUCUACCUGUAGUUUUGCACUUGCAAUUUUAAUGCAAGAUCGAAUAAGCAUCGUAUA